rnacentral:rRNA from 1 species
AGAGUUUGAUCAUGGCUCAGAGUGAACGUUGGCGGCGUGGAUUAGGCAUGCAAGUCGAGCGAUCGUAGCAAUACGGGAGCGGCAAACGGGGUAGGAAUACAUCGGAACGUACCUUUUGGUUGAGAAUAGCGUUGGGAAACUGACGGUAAUACUCAAUAAAGUCGAGAGACCAAAGGUUUACUGCCGGAAGAGCGGCCGAUGCGAUAUUAGGUAGUUGGUGGGGUAAUGGCCUACCAAGCCUGAGAUGUCUAGGGGGUGUGAGAGCAUGGCCCCCACCACUGGGACUGAGAUACUGCCCAGACACCUACGGGUGGCUGCAGUCGAGGAUCUUCGUCAAUGGGCGAAAGCCUGAACGAGCGACGCCGCGUGCGGGAUGAAGGCCCUUGGGUUGUAAACCGCUGUCAGGGGGGAUGAAACCGUAAGGUCGACAGAGCCCCAGAGGAAGCACGGGCUAAGUUCGUG